GUGGGGAAUUUUGGACAAUGGGCGCAAGCCUGAUCCAGCAAUGCCGCGUGCAGGAUGAAGGCCUUCGGGUUGUAAACUGCUUUUGUACGGAACGAAAAGACUUCUUCUAAUACAGGAGGUCCAUGACGGUACCGUAAGAAUAAGCACCGGCUAACUACGUGCCAGCAGCCGCGGUAAUACGUAGGGUGCAAGCGUUAAUCGGAAUUACUGGGCGUAAAGCGUGCGCAGGCGGUUAUAUAAGACAGAUGAGAAAUCCCCGGGCUCAACCUGGGAACUGCAUUUGUGACUGUAUAGCUAGAGUACGGUAGAGGGGGAUGGAAUUCCGCGUGUAGCAGUGAAAUGCGUAGAUAUGCGGAGGAACACCGAUGGCGAAGGCAAUCCCCUGGACCUGUACUGACGCUCAUGCACGAAAGCGUGGGGAGCAAACAGGAUUAGAUACCCGUGUAGUCC
rnacentral:rRNA from 1 species